rnacentral:rRNA from 1 species
AAGCCCCGCAAGGGGCAAGUAGAGUGGCAAACGGGUGAGUAACGCGUGGGCGACCUACCUUCGAGUGGGGGAUAACCUUCCGAAAGGAGGGCUAAUACCGCAUGACAUCCCGUGUUUGGAUACACGGACAUCAAAGCUGGGGAUCGCAAGACCUGGCGCUUGAAGAGGGGCCUGCGUCCGAUUAGCUAGUUGGUGGGGUAAUGGCCUACCAAGGCGACGAUCGGUAUCCGGCCUGAGAGGGCGGACGGACACACUGGAACUGAGACACGGUCCAGACUCCUACGGGAGGCAGCAGUAGGGAAUUGUUCGCAAUGGGCGCAAGCCUGACGACGCAACGCCGCGUGGAGGAUGAAGACCUUCGGG